CAGUAUAUUGGAUCCUGAGAGUAUGGAGUCUCUAAUUCUCACAUACUAGGAUAACCCGUAAUGUCUAGUGAAAUUAUAGCAGAUUGCUUGUAGGAGGUCAUUGUAUUGCAUCCUUAUGGAACCCCGUUUUUCCUACCAUACCUGUAUCUGCAUCUGCAUUCCCCGUUGCACUCUCAAGAACAGAUUGCUUGUAGCCUCAAAAUCAAGUUCUAGAGCUCCUUCCUCAUCUUCCCGAAGAUUGUAUAUGAUUAUUCGAGUACCUUGAUAUUUAAUUAAAUUGAACUGCUCUAAAAGCUCAGCUUCGCUUGCAUAAGGAGACCACUGCGCAUAUGUUUCUACAUUCUUAUUCCAAUGAACUGAAGAUGAUGAUGCUGGUACGAUGUUGCUCCAAUCUUUGCCAUUUUUCUCAUAAUCAAGAAUGGGAACUACAAGGUCCUCCUUGCUAGUGCUCGUCAAGAACGUGUAUGGAAGUAGUCCAAUGCUUUGAAUAGGGCAUGGUCCAUCUUUUCCAGGACAUCACGAAAACACAAUUACGUCAGCUCCAACCCUCAUUGUACGAGUCUUAAAACCAUUCCCAUACUGACCAUUUCCGUAUUUUCUGUCUCAUUCCGAAGCAGAACUUAGAUUGCUGGAAGUUUUCUACCACAAGAUUUAUAAGCUUAAUCCAGCUGUUAAAGAUGUGUUCGAUGUUGCCUAAGAUAACAUGCAUGCAUUUCAUUAUGCUCAAAAGGCUCCCAUGGUGAAAGUUAAGAACAUGAAACAAAAUUUGGAAUGGUUACGUCUGAUCCAAAGCGCCCCGAAGACCUUCGUUCAUGUAUACACAGGGAUGAUCCAACAGCACUGUAUAAGUGGCCAUGUCUUUCGCUUUUUACCUUCAACAGCACUCAUGCUCGCAGUGGAUGCAAAAUUGUUGUUCUGGCUACUCCCUCUGGAAAAUAUGACAGCAUUAGGAGGUGCUUUAUUGUGCCAAAAAAGCUGGUGUGACUCAUAUUCUUAAAACCGGGGAGCUCAGGUAGUGUUUGGUUUUGUAACCUUUAUCAAGCACUACAUCUAGAAUGGAUCCUUUUACCUUACUUAGACAUACAGUUUCUGAUGGAAACACUAAAUAUCAUUCUUUUCCAUGUAUGCAGGCCAUUUCAGCUUUAUAGAAAUUCAGGUUAGUGAAAAGUUUGGCAUGGUGUUCCUCUAUUAGAGCCUAAUCGGUACCGUCACAUUCUUAUUUGUUUUGUAGGUGGAGAAAAUUUUUGGACCUGGAAAUCAGGUAGUCACAGCUGCAAAAAUGAUAUCCAGAACAGUGAAGCGAAUGGUUUCAGUAGACAUGCCUGCUGGCUCAUCUGAAGUUCUGGUUAUUGCUGAUAAACAUGCCGGCCCGGUUCAUAUAGCAGCUGAUUUACUGUCUCAGAGAACUCGGAGCAAUUCAGCGAAUACUGGUUGGUAUUGUGUAGAAGCGCAGAGCUGCAUGAAUGACAUUAGUUAUCAGGUAUUGACAUAUGUUGCUACUUCCCUAUUUUGGUUGUUCUCCCUGUUUCAGAGUUGGGCUAGUUUCUCCGCAACCUUAUGCUUGAAUUGAAAGGAGUGAUUCUGUAAACCCUUGGUCUUGUAGUAAUUCCUUUACUAUCUGCUGCACUUCAAAAUUCGCCUGUGUGACAUGACAUAUGACCGAAGUAUGUAUACUGAUCCAACAUGCAUUGAGAUGGUGCACCAUCUUUGUCCCAA